GUGCCAGCAGCCGCGGUAAUACAGAGGGUGCAAGCGUUGUUCGGAAUUACUGGGCGUAAAGCGCGCGCAGGCGGGUCUGGUAAGUCUGGAGUGAAAUUCCACCGCUCAACGGUGGAGCUGCUUUGGAUACUGCGGAUCUGGAGACCGGUAGAGGCUGGUGGAAUUGCAGGUGUAGCGGUGGAAUGCGUAGAGAUCUGCAAGAACACCCGUGGCGAAGGCGGCCAGCUGGGCCGGUUCUGACGCUGAGGCGCGAAAGCGUGGGGAGCAAACAGGAUUAGAUACCCCAGUAGUCC
rnacentral:rRNA from 1 species